AUUUUUCAGAAAAUGGAGCAACCAUAUUUACAGUUGGUGCACAACAUUCCUUGUUUCCAUUUACAUUGAUGAAGGCUCGUGUGAACAAUGAGGCCAAAAUAGGUGGGCUUAUUCGGUUUGAAGUGUGGGAAAAGCUCCUGGUAGCAAUCACUGGAGAGGUGGAUUUUAGGGCCUCAAACAACAAAAUUUCUCAGGUUGGAAUGUCUAUGGCUUUCAGUCUCUAAAGCAGACUCACGUGAGAAUAAAUACUGUCAUUUUGAGAUUAUAUGGCAGCCUCUGCUCCAACAAGAUUUUAUAUAUAGGUUAUUAUUUUCCGUAUUCCUCUAUUAAUACGACAAAUAAUGGGGAAAGUGAUCAGUGGAAUACAACAUACAGAAUACAAAUAUGAGAAGGGCACCUUGGCUGGCUCUUUUGAUGCAUAGAACAGUAUGAUCUUUGAUGAGAUGUUGGAAAUUUUACUUUCCCAGAGACACUGAGGAGAGUUUGUGUUGGAAACAAGAAAAUAUGCAAAACGCUGUCGGUUCACGCCAGUGCCAACAGAUUCGUCUUGUAGAAUUCUCAUCUGAGUUAAACCAGAAGCUUUGGACUUGAAAAUUGAACUGAGAUUGGAGCUUCCUACUUAAAACUAGGGAUGAGUAUUAUUUUCCUUUUUAUUUAAAUGGAAUCAAUCAGUUUAUUACUAUUACUAAAAUGUUACAUAAUUG
rnacentral:misc_RNA from 1 species